rnacentral:lncRNA from 1 species
UACUUUGAGACUGAUGACAUUAACUACAGAACAUAUGAAAAUCUCCAUUCCUCUUCCCAUGCUCACCACAUGAGAGCAUUUUGAUGUUAGUAUCAGGACCGGCUCUUGGCACCAGCAAACCAAGCACGUGCUUGGGGUGGCACAAUUCCAGGGGCGGCAUUCCAGACACCUUUUUUUUUGUUGCUUGAGGCAGCAAAAAACCCAGAGCCGGCCCUGGUUAGUAUAUUGCUUGAAAGGGACAGUGUGCUAAUCCUGUCAGACGCGCUGUGUGUUUAUUGUAGCUCUUUAAUGGAGAGGGAGCAGGAAAUGCUGAGAGAGAGUAGAGAGGCUAGAGUUGGCUCUCAGGAAGAGUAGCCUAGGUUCCUGCUGGCUUGCUCAUCUGUCAAGAUGGAGGACUGCCUGAACACCAGCGACUAUCUGAUGAUUAAUAAGCCCUAGCUCUUAUGUGGAGUUUUCCAUCAGCAGAUCUCAAAGGAGAUUCAUAAUUGUUUCUCCAUUCCAUCCGGUCUUUUUCAAGAAUCUGCAGUUUCCUUGGAAAACACUGAGCAGGCCUUCUCAGGCUUAACUAGGACAGCUGAUGAGAUUGGACAAUGGUGGCUCUAAACCAGAAGCAAAUGGAAUCCCUGAAGGUGAACACAAAGAGCUGGCACGUGUGAGAUUCUCUGCACAGGCCUGUCCCACUGAGUAUUGCUGUUCCACUGUGUGCUUUGGAAACUGUGACUCUGUAAGCAAUUAG